CUGCUUAACAGCUUGGAUUGAAGAGGCUUGUCCGGGGGUACUGAGACCUUGCAGAUCAUUCCAGGAGCCGCCUCCAUCCAAGGCCAACAGCUUCAUCAGGCCGCAGGCCUGGGAGCCCUAAUAGCAAUCAGAUGGCGCAAGUGGAAAAUCACGGCGCUCGGCGAAAAAGCUGGAAAUUGGCGGGCUGUGGUGCCUGGUGCCUGUGCUGCUCAGCGGGAGGAUGAGUCAGGAGCAUAGUGCCCAGACUGGGAGAGAUGUACCUCUGUGGGCAUCUUGAAGGGAAACGAGAAGCGGAGCUGCCCCUGCACCUGCGAUGGGAGCUGCCUGCCUCCCGCUUGUCCUGCCCACGUGCGAACCUCAGCGUGGAAGAGGGAGUCAGUCUCGCACUGCUCCCUGCGCAGCUCAGCUGGCCUCCUGGGGGCAGCCAGCUGGGGCCCAGCUGGAACGCUUGUUUACAUGGGGAGGCUGGGGGAGGCUGAAUCCCAGCGAGUUCCAAGUGUAAUUGCGUUUGGACACUUAAAAGGAAUUGUGUGAAGUGGGCAGAGGCUCUGAAGUCCACCGCCUUAUUUGGUGCUUCUGUGGCCUAUGGUUGCCCUGCUGCUCCCUGGACGAGGGAGUGGGUGUGGACCAGCCCUCGUGGCCCCUCUGCAGCCAGCACCAUCCUCAGUAAAGACUACAGCAGCCACAAGAAACUAAUCCAUGGGGAUGGCCAGGCCUGAUUAGCUGGGGUGGGGCUGGAGGCUCCUCUACAGAGAUGAUGCUUACACUGAGACCUGAAGGAGAAGGAGGUGGCUGCUCACGCAACUCACAGGAAAGUGUUCCAGGAUCAAGAAUAGCAGGUGCAAAGGCCCCGUGAUGGAAAGGAUUGGUGGACUAGGAGAACAAAAGGGGUGGCUGCAGGGCAGGAGGGGAGGGUGCAUGUGCAGGCUGGGGAGGAGGGUAGGGCCUUGAGGCACCCUACACGCCCCUGUAAGUCGAGGCACAGAGCCGCUGCCUUGAGCCCUGAGGUCCGGACAUUCCAGUUUCCCAUCUUUCCAGUGUGGGACUCUCUGCCUUUUCCAAUUCCCCACUUCCUGAUGCCAGAUACUGCCUGACUGUGUCCAUCUCUCCCCUGUCCCCUGGGCCACCUCCCUGCUGAGACCCCUCGCUGGUGCCUCCCAGGUGCAUUCUCCUUGCUGCCCCCAGCAGAGUCCUUCCCACACACCCAGCUCCUUGGUGUGGUGCCUGCCUAUGGGCGGGUGGUGCACCCCACCGGCAUCCCUCCUCUGCCCUGUCCACCUCAACUUCCAGGGCAUCCUGGACACCAGGUUUGGUCCACCUUGUCCACACUCGCCUGCUUCUGUCCUGCCUAAAGUGGAUCCAUGAUGUCCCUUCAUUAGACCUUCAAUUUCAGCACAGGACUGAAUAACCAACCUUCAAAAAGUUUGCAGUAGCCUUGUCACUCCUAAAAAUAACAAAUAAUUCCUUAAACAUCAUUCAACAUCCAA
rnacentral:antisense_RNA from 1 species